rnacentral:misc_RNA from 1 species
GAAAUGCGAUAAGUAAUGUGAAUUGCAGAAUUCAGUGAAUCAUCGAAUCUUUGAACGCACCUUGCGCUCCUUGGCAUUCCGAGGAGCAUGCCUGUUUGAGUGUCAUUAAAUUCUCGAACCCCCCACCUGGGCGUCCUUGUGGUGGACCCUUGAAUGGCUCUACUACUUGCUCGGGCUCUAGGUAGUUCUACACCGUCACUUGUGGCUUAACUAGUUACCUGGUGGGUUUGGAUCGGUGGAGGUUGCAAUUGCCGCCCCCAACUGGGGUGUUCCCUUUGCUUCUCUGAAAUGGAUCGGCACUUAUGGCCGUGGUCACGAACCCGUCGUCGGUAUGAUACGUCUUACCUGCUUCGAGCGGGCGCCGUGCACCAUUCUCUCACAAUUUGACCUCAAAUCAGGC